GAUGAACGCUGACAGAAUGCUUAACACAUGCAAGUCUACUUGAAUUCACUUCGGUGAUAGUAAGGUGGCGGACGGGUGAGUAACACGUAAAGAACUUACCUUGCAGUCUGGGACAACUAUUGGAAACGAUAGCUAAUACCGGAUAUUAUGCGUGAGUCGCAUGACUCAUGUAUGAAAGCUAUAUGCGCUGCGAGAGAGCUUUGCGUCCCAUUAGCUAGUUGGUGAGGUAACGGCUCACCAAGGCCACGAUGGGUAGCCGGCCUGAGAGGGUGAACGGCCACAAGGGGACUGAGACACGGCCCUUACUCCUACGGGAGGCAGCAGUGGGGAAUAUUGGACAAUGGACCAAAAGUCUGAUCCAGCAAUUCUGUGUGCACGAUGACGGUCUUAGGAUUGUAAAGUGCUUUCAAUUGGGAAGAAAAAAAUGACGGUACCAAUAGAAGAAGCGACGGCUAAAUACGUGCCAGCAGCCGCGGUAAUACGUAUGUCGCAAGCGUUAUCCGGAUUUAUUGGGCGUAAAGCGCGUCUAGGUGGUUUGGUAAGUCUGAUGUGAAAAUGCGGGGCUCAACUCCGUAUUGCGUUGGAAACUGCCUAACUAGAGUAUCGGAGAGGUGGGCGGAACUACAAGUGUAGAGGUGAAAUUCGUAGAUAUUUGUAGGAAUGCCGAUAGAGAAGUCAGCUCACUGGACGAAUACUGACACUGAAGCGCGAAAGCAUGGGGAGCAAACAGG
rnacentral:rRNA from 1 species